rnacentral:lncRNA from 1 species
CACAUCCAUACGGAAUUUGGCUACAGUCAAACCGCAAGUCUCUGGGAAAUUAUCAGAUAGCCCACUGAUCCACUGUUGCAUGGAUGGCCAUCGCCCACUCAGUUAUGAUUAUGGAAAAGAAAAAGAAAAAAGGAUGCCUACUAUAGACCCUGAGCACUGGGACAUUGAUGCAAAUGAUUAAUUCAAGAGGCAGGGACUGUCAGGGGCUGAAAUCUUACCUGGAAGCUGAAGUGAC